UGUAAAUCUGAUUGGAGAACAACCAGAAACUUUUUAAGAACCAUUUUGGAGAAAUUUUUAGAGUCAGAGUGAAGAUUUAAUUGCUUAAACUCUUGACAGCAGUGAAGAUGGAUUCAGCGUCAGCAGAAGAUCUUACAUGUCCUGUGUGUAAAGAAGUCUUCAAGGAUCUUUUUGUUUUAACAUGUAAACACAAAUACUGUACAGAGUGUCUUCGAUCAUUCUGGAGAGACACAGAAACAAAGUGGUGUCCUUUGUGCAGUAGAAGAUCCUCACAAGGGCUUCCUCCACAUAUGUGCAUUUUACACAGAGAGAAACCCCAGCUCUACUGUGUGGAGGACCAACAGUUCGUGUGUUUAACAUGUGUUAACUCUGAAGAACACACCAAUCACACAUUCAAAUCCAUCAGAGGAGCCAUUUCAUCAUAUAAGGAGACAAAAGAGAGAAGUUCAUCAGAGUCAGAGGAGAUCUGCAGUUUACAUGAUAAGAAACUCCAGCUCUUCUGUCAGGAAGAUGAACAGCCUGUGUGUGUAGAGUGUGUUUAUGCUGAAACACACACCAAUCACACAUUUAAAUCUGCCAGUGAAGCUGCUUCAACAUUUGAGGCAAGAAAGAGAGAAGUUUCACCACGGUCUGAGGAGAUCUGCAGUUUACACAAUCUGAAACUCACACUUUACUGUGAGAACAAACAACUUGUGUGUUUAGAGUGUGUUACCUCUGAAAAACACACCAAUCACACAGUCAAACACAUUAGUGAAGUUGCUUCAUCACAUAAGAUAGAAACUCAAAACAGAAAUAAAGACAUUAGAAGAGAAUCGUAAACACAAAGAAAACAUUAAAGGAGAGUUUGAGGAAUCAGCUAAACACAUCAAGUUUAAGGUCGACUACACACAGAAACAGAUUGAACAUCAGUUUGAGAUGCUUCACCAGAAACUCGAAGAGGAAAAACAAGCAGCAAUCGCUGCACUGAGGGAGGAAGAGGAGGAGAUAAUGAAGAAGACAGUGGAGGAGAUCGAGAGUCAGAUCUCAACACUUACAGAUGCAAUCAAAGACACAGAGGAGAUGCUGAACGCCAGUGAUGACUGCUUACUGAAGGUCUGAUUCUAGAUGAAGUCCAGAUCUCUCAGCCGUAUCCAGAACUGCCAUCUGCAGCUUCAGUAAAUGUGUCACGGUACUUGGGGAACCUGAUGUCCAACAUCAAGAAAAAGAUGGAGGAGACGAUUAAUAACAUUUUCCAGUACA
ensembl:processed_transcript